GAUGAAGAACGCAGCGAAAUGCGAUAAGUAAUGUGAAUUGCAGAACUCAGUGAAUCAUCGAAUCUUUGAACGCACAUUGCGCCCCUUGGUAUUCCAUGGGGCAUGCCUGUUCGAGCGUCAUUUGUACCCUCAAGCUUUGCUUGGUGUUGGGUGUUUGUCCCGCGUUGCGCGUGGACUCGCCUUAAAGCGAUUGGCAGCCGGCAUAUUGGCCUUGGAGCGCAGCACAUUUUGCGCUUCUAGUCAUGAAUGUUGGCGUCCAUUAAGCCUAUACAUUUGCUCUUGACCUCGGAUCAGGUAGGGAUACCCGCUGAACUUAAGCAUAUCAAUAAGCGGAGGA
rnacentral:misc_RNA from 1 species